GAUGAACGCUGGCGGCGUGCCUAAUACAUGCAAGUCGAGCGAACGGACGAGAAGCUUGCUUCUCUGAUGUUAGCGGCGGACGGGUGAGUGACACGUGGAUAACCUACCUAUAAGACUGGGAUAACUUCGGGAAACCGUAGCUAAUACCGGAUAAUAUUUUGAACCGCUUGGUUCAAAAGUGAAAGACGGUCUUGCUGUCACUUAUAGAUGGAUCCGCGCUGCAUUAUCUAGUUGGUAAGGUAACGGCUUACCAAGGCAACGAUGCAUAGCCGACCUGAGAGGGUGAUCGGCCACACUGGAACUGAGACACGGUCCAGACUCCUACGGGAGGCAGCAGUAGGGAAUCUUCCGCAAUGGGCGAAAGCCUGACGGAGCAACGCCGCGUGAGUGAUGAAGGUCUUCGGAUCGUAAAACUCUGUUAUUAGGGAAGAACAUAUGUGUAAGUAACUGUGCACAUCUUGACGGUACCUAAUCAGAAAGCCACGGCUAACUAUGUG
rnacentral:rRNA from 1 species